AUUGAACGCUGGCGGAAUGCCUAACACAUGCAAGUCGAGCGGAGUAGCAAUACUCAGCGGCGGACGGGUGAGGAAUACAUAUGAACUUGCCUUUAGGUGGGGGAUAGCUUGGGGAAACUCAAGGUAAUACCGCAUGAUCUCGCAAGAGCAAAGGGGCGCAAGUCUCGCCUUUAGACAGGCCUAUGGCUGGUUAGCUAGUUGGCGGUGUAAUAGACCACCAAGGCGACGAUCAGUAACGGGUCUGAGAGGACGAUCAGUCACACCGGAACUGAGACACGGUCCGGACUCCUACGGGAGGCAGCAGUGGGGAAUAUUGGACAAUGGGCGAAAGCCUGAUCCAGCAAUUCCGCGUGUGUGAAGAAGGCCUUCGGGUUGUAAAGCACUUUAGUGAGGGAAGAAACAGCUUGGCCACACCAAGCCUUGACGGUACCUCAAGAAUAAGCACCGGCUAACUCUGUGCCAGCCGCCGCCGUAA
rnacentral:rRNA from 1 species